AUACUUACCUGGCAGGGAAGAUACCUUGAUGAUGAAGGUGGUUUUCCCAGGGUGAGGCUCUCCCAUUGCACUCCGGGUGUUCUGACUCCUGCGAUUUCCCCAAAUGUGGGAAACUUGACUGCAUAAUUUGUAGUAGCGGGGGACUGUGUGCGAGCUUUCCCCUA